UACGGGGGGGGCAAGCGUUGUUCGGAAUUACUGGGCGUAAAGGGCUCGUAGGUGGCCAACUAAGUCGGACGUGAAAUCCCUCAGCUUAACUGGGGAACUGCGUCCGAUACUGGAUGGCUCGAGUUUGGGAGAGGGAUGCGGAAUUCCAGGUGUAGCGGUGAAAUGCGUAGAUAUCUGGAGGAACACUGGUGGCGAAGGCGGCAUUCUGGACCGAAACUGACGCUGAGGCGCGAAAGCCAGGGGAGCAAACGGG
rnacentral:rRNA from 1 species